rnacentral:rRNA from 1 species
UACGGGGGGGGCAAGCGUUGUUCGGAAUUACUGGGCGUAAAGGGCUCGUAGGCGGCCAACUAAGUCAGACGUGAAAUCCCUCGGCUUAACCGGGGAACUGCGUCUGAUACUGGAUGGCUGGAGGUUGGGAGAGGGAUGCGGAAUUCCAGGUGUAGCGGUGAAAUGCGUAGAUAUCAGGAGGAACACCGGUGGCGAAGGCGGGUCUCUGGGCCGAUACUGACGCUGAGGAGCGAAAGCGUGGGGAGCGAACAGG